UGGCCUGUAGCUCAGUGGUUAGAGCACUCGCCUUACAAGCGAGAGACCCGAGUUCGAUUCCCGGGCAGGGCGA